GAUGAACGCUGGCGGCGUGUUUAACACAUGCAAGUCGAACGAAGCACUUAAGAUUGCUUCUUCGGAUGACGUCUUUUGUGACUUAGUGGCGGACGGGUGAGUAACGCGUGGGUAACCUGCCUCACACAGGGGGAUAACAGUUAGAAAUGACUGCUAAUACCGCAUAACCCGAUAGGAUCGCAUGAUCCAGACGGAAAAGAUUUAUCGGUGUGAGAUGGACCCGCGUCUGAUUAGCUAGUUGGUGAGGUAACGGCCCACCAAGGCGACGAUCAGUAGCCGGCCUGAGAGGGUGAACGGCCACAUUGGGACUGAGACACGGCCCAAACUCCUACGGGAGGCGGCAGUGGGGAAUAUUGCACAAUGGGGGAAACCCUGAUGCAGCGACGCCGCGUGAGUGAAGAAGUAUUUCGGUAUGUAAAGCUCUAUCAGCAGGGAAGAAAAUGACGGUACCUGACGAAGAAGCCCCGGCUAACUACGUG
rnacentral:rRNA from 1 species